rnacentral:rRNA from 1 species
UACGUAGGGUGCGAGCGUUAAUCGGAAUUACUGGGCGUAAAGCGUGCGCAGGCGGUUUUGUAAGUCAGAUGUGAAAUCCCCGAGCUCAACUUGGGAACUGCGUUUGAAACUACAAGACUAGAAUAUGUCAGAGGGGGGUAGAAUUCCACGUGUAGCAGUGAAAUGCGUAGAGAUGUGGAGGAAUACCAAUGGCGAAGGCAGCCCCCUGGGAUAAUAUUGACGCUCAUGCACGAAAGUGUGGGGAGCAAACAGG